GAUGAACGCUGGCGGCGUGCCUAAUACAUGCAAGUCGAGCGAACGGACGAGAAGCUUGCUUUUCUGAUGUUAGCGACGGACGGGUGAGUAACACGUGGAUAACCUACCUAUAAGACUGGGGUAACUUCGGGAAACCGGAGCUAAUACCGGAUGAUAUUUUGAACCGCAUGGUUCAAAAGUUUAAGACGUUCUUGCUGUCCCUUAUAGAUGGAUCCGCGCUGCAUUAGCUAGUUGGUAAGGUAACGGCUUACCAAGGCAACGAUGCAUAGCCGACCUGAGAGGGUGAUCGGCCACACUGGAACUGAGACACGGUCCAGACACCUACGGGAGGCAGCAGUAGGGAAUCUUCCGCAAUGGGCGAAAGCCUGACGGAGGAACGCCGCGUGAGUGAUGAAGGUCUUCGGAUCGUAAAACUCUGUUAUUAUGGAAGAACACAUGUGUAAGUAACUGUGCACAUCGUGACGGUACCUAAUCAGAAAGCCACGGCUAACUACGUG
rnacentral:rRNA from 1 species